GAGGCGGCGCUGCUCGGUCCCGCACCGGCGUCGCCGGCGCAGCGCGUGGAGCUCCUCCACGCCGUCCGCGAUGCCUCCCCCGCAUUCCGCACGCUCCUCUCUUACCCGGUGCCAAAGGCGUCCGAUCGAACUCAGGUGGAGGCCAAGGAGGUUCGGCUCUCGGACAUGCCACCAAUCACGCUCGAUGACACCGACGUGCAGACUGCCCUUAAGCUGAGUGAUGAACUCAAUCUUAAUGAAAUUGAGUGUGUUCGCUUGCUAGUUUCUGCCAACAGAGAGUGGGUUCUAUAUGGCCGGGAGCCACUGGAAAUAUAUAGGCUUGCAGCUGGCCUUUGGUACAUGGAGAGGAGAGAUCUGAUAACUUCUCUGUACAUUUUGUUGCGGUCUGUUGUACUUGACCAAGGACUUGAUGCUGAUCUGAUGUACGAAAUCCAAAAUCAAAUGGAGGCUCUUUUUAGCGACGGUCUCCGACAGCGGAUAAUCACCCUUGUAAAGGAGCUUAACCGGGAAGAACCAUCUGGUAUUGGCCGACCAAGCUCUGAGUGCUAUGUGCUUGAUUUCAGAGGAGCUCUUGUCGAGAGGCGUGCCAUUGUCUCCCGAGAGAGAUUAAGUUUGAGUCACUGCCUUGCUCUUUCUGCACUUAUCAAACUAAUGGGUCCCAAGGAGGUUAAGGAUACAUUUUCAAUAUUAAAAGACUGCGCUGCUGAAGUAAAUGAAAAUUCUACUGUUGAGCUUCAGAUCACCUAUGGCGUUCUAUUCUCUCUUGUAAUAACUUUUGUUUCUGACGCCCUAAGUAAUUCCCAUGAGAAAACAUCUUUGCCAUCGUCUGAUUCCUCGUUCAGACAUGAAUUUCAUGAACUAGUGAUGAAGACAUGUAACGGUACAACUGCUGAAGGAUUUGUUGGUGUUGUGCGGCUUGCAUGGACUGUUCUUUUGAUGUUAACACAAGAUCGAAAUAGCGCAAGAGACUCAGUCAUUAAUGCUUCCUCCAGAGCUGUGACUGAUAUUUGGUCAUGUCUGGAUAUUAUCUGUUGCCUGAAUGCUUUUAAAUUUUUACGGGAGCGGGUUAUGCAAGCAGCUGCUUACCAGAAUGACGAUGAUGACAUUGUUUACAUGUACACUGGCUAUGCGCACAAGUUGAUGAUGUGCUUUCUCUCCCAUCCGACUUCUAGAGAUAAGAUAAAAGAAAUCAAGGAAAAAGCAAUGAAUGCUCUCAGCCCAUACUCUCUACCAUGGGAUCAUAGAGAAGAUCCUAAUAUAAGUGGGGAGCAGAUUGGUCAGCCUACUAACCAGCCUUUUGUAUCCCUACUGGAACUAGUUGGAGAAAUCUAUCAGAAAGAGCCUGAGCUAGUGCAUGGAAACGAGGAACUGUGGACCUUUGUCGUAUAUGCAGGCGAAGAUCACACCAAUACACAAACCCUCGUGGCCUUCCUUGGACUUCUAAGUACUUUGGCUUCCAGUGACGUUGGUGCCGCCAAGGUAUACGAAUUGCUCCAGGGAAAGAUUUACCGCUCAGUUGGAUGGAACACUUUGUUUGAUUGCUUAUCUAUUUAUGAAGAGAAGUUUAAGAAAUCCCUACAAUCUUCCACAAGCAUGUUGCCUGAUUUUCCAGAGGGAGAUGCACAGGCACUUGUUGCGUAUUUAGCUGUCCUUCAGAAGGUGGUGGAAAAUGGAAAUCCAUCUGAAAGAAGAAAAUGGUUCCCUGACAUUGAACCUUUGUUUAAGCUUCUAAGCUAUGAAAAUGUGCCCCCGUAUUUGAAGGGGGCUUUGCGGAAUUCAAUCACUGCAUUUGUCAAAGUUUCACCCCAGUUGAAAGAUGCUGUUUGGAGUUAUCUUGAACAAUAUGAUCUUCCGGUGGUUACGGUACCACCUGGGCAGCAUGCGGCAACACAGGUCUAUGACAUGAGGUUUGAGUUGAAUGAAGUUGAAGCAAGGAGGGAGAGUUAUCCAUCAACCAUAUCAUUUCUCAACUUGGUCAAUGCUCUCAUUGCAGAAGAAAGAAACAUAAGUGACAAAGGCCGGAGGUUCAUGGGUAUCUUUAAAUUUGUAUAUGAGGAUGUCUUUGGGCCUUUUCCCCAAAGAGCCUAUGCUGACCCUCGGGAAAAGUGGGAAUUAGCACUGGCCUGCUUGGAGCACUUUCAUAUGGUUUUGCGCAUGUACGACAUAAAGGAUGAUGAUAUUUAUGCUGCUUUUAACACGUCUGGGCCUUCAACAUCAAAUGCCUCAGUCGAGAAACAGCUCCCGGUGCUAGAACUUGUGAAAGAUUUCAUGUGUGGGAAGGUUGCAUUCCGCAAUAUUAUGAACAUCAUACUAAUGGGUGUUGACACUCUUAUUAAUGAACGGACUACCCAAACUUACGGGAUUCUUCUGGAGAAAGCUGUCCAUCUUUCACUUGAAAUAUUUAUUCUCGUAAUGGAGAGAGAUGUGGUUCUUGCUGAUGUUUUCCGUCCACUCUACCAGCCCUUGGACAUUAUAUUAUCUCAAAAUCAUAGACAAAUUAUAUCUUUGCUAGAGUUUGUUCGAUAUGAUUAUCUUCCUCAAAUUCAGCAGUGUUCAAUAAAAAUUAUGGGCAUCCUGAGUUCUAGAAUAGUUGGGCUUGUACAGUUGCUUCUGAAAGAAGAUGUUGCUAAAUCUGUAAUUGAGGAUUACGCUGCUUGCUUGGAGUUCCGUUUUGACGAUUUCCAGGUCAUAGAGAACACAAAAGAUGAUGUCGGUGUUCUAAUACUGCAGCUACUUAUUGACAAUAUUUGUCGUCCAGCUCCCAACAUUACACAUUUACUCCUAAGAUUUGAUGUCAAUGGACCUAUAGAACGAACUGUUCUAAAACCAAAAUCCCACUACAGUUGUUUAAAGAUAAUCCUUGACAAUCUCGAAAAGGUGACAAAGCCAGAUAUAAAUGCUUUACUUCACGAGUUCAGUUUUCAGCUGAUGUACGAGUCAUGUCUUGAUCCUUUAACUUGUGGACCUGUCAUGGAUCUCCUGAGUACAACGAAGUACCAGUUCUUUUCAAAGCAUGUUGGGACCAUCGGUGUUUCACCACUUCCCAAAAGGAACAAUAAUCAAGCUCUUCGCAUCAGCAUGCUCCAUGAGAGGGCGUGGUUACUAAAGAUACAAGCAUUGGCACUACAUGUAUCUGAUAUAUCAUCAUCUGUGUAUCGGGAAGCUUGUCUGGCUAUUCUUAAUGAUACUUUUGGUCACUGUGCUGAGAACAUGAAGAAUGCAAGCAUGUUCCAAUCUCCUGGCACUCCCAUUUGCACUAGCAGUGGGCUGAUGAAUAGAAACAAGGUUUUGGAAUUGCUUGAAGUUGUACAGUUCAGAUGUCCAGACACUUCAAUGAAAUACCCUCAGUUGCUUUCAAAUCUGAGAGUUGAAUCGAAGAUUGAAGAGAUCCUACGGAAUUCUGCAACAUCUGAAUUUGGCGGUGUAUAUUAUUUUUCGGAGAGAGGUGAUCGACUGAUUGAUCUGGAUGCGUUCCAUCAAAAGCUUAUCCAGAUGUCACAAGAACUCCACACACAAUUGAGUGAGUCUGAGAAAGGAGAGCUAAAAGAAUCGUUCCAUCAUAUGCUGAAAUGGGCCUGGAGAUAUAACAAAAAUCUUGAAGAACAGGCAGCCCAGCUUCACAUGUUAACUAGCUGGUCUCAAAUUGUUGAAGUAGCUGUAUCAAGAAGGAUGUCAUUGCUUGAGAAUCGUUCACAGUUAUUGUUUGAGCUGCUUGAUGCUUCAUUGGGUGCCACAUCAUCUCCAGACUGUUCAGUGAAAAUGGCGUAUAUUUUAACCAAUGUAGCACUGACCUGUAUGGCUAAACUGCGGGAUGAAAGAUUCAUAUGCCCAACUGGUGCAGAUUCUGAUGCAGUUACGUGCCUUGACAUUAUUUCGGCAAAACAGUUGUCAAAUGCAGCCUGUAACUCAUUGUUGUUCAAGCUCAUUAUGGCAAUAAUGAGAAAUGAAUCGUCUGAAACCUUGAGAAGACGCCAAUAUGCAUUACUAUUGAGUUACUUCCAGUAUUGUGGUAGCAUUCUCGACUCUGAUGUUCCUCCGUCAGUUAUCCGUUUCUUGCUACUUGAAGAACAGGAGGGAGAUGAUGAUGAACUCACUCUUCAAAAUGUUCUGAAGGAGCAAAGUGAAUUAGCACGUGCCAACUUUGCUAUCAUAAGGAAGGAAGCUCAAGCGGUCAUCGAUUUGGUUACUAAGGAUGCUAUCCAUGGGAGUGAAACUGGGAAAGCAAUUUCGUUCUAUGUUCUUGAUUCAUUAGUUAGUAUUGACCAUGAAAAGUAUUUCUUAAACCAGCUUCAAAGUCGAGGAAUUCUCAGAUCAUGUCUAACUGAUGUUAGCAACUAUUUGUCAAAGGACAUGUCAUGCUCAUCAGAGUUUUCACAGCGGUUUUGCACUAUUGAUGCUCAGUUUUCAUUACUUCUGAGAAUCACUCACCAUUAUGGCAAACAUGGCUCUCAGAUUUUGUUAUCCAUGGGUGCUUUACAAAAUCUUUCAUCGUGCAACCUCUUGGGUUAUCAGAAAAAGGGAAGUUCAAGGCUAAACUCCAAUGUUGUGAAGGAACGAGCUGGGGAAAUUGACAAGAAGUGGUCACUUACUGCACCAGUACUGCGGAUAAUCACAUCUUUCACAUCCCUCGUGGACUCAGCUGAUUUUCUUGAGGUGAAGAACAAAAUUGUACGUGAGAUAGUGGAUUUUGCCAAGCAGCAUCAGUCCAUUUUUGAUAGCAUUUUAAGAGAGAACAUAUCUGGAGCUAAUGCCUUCAGCUUGGAGCGGCUUAAUAUGGUGGUUUCUAUUCUCAGCAAGAUAUGGGCAUACGAGGAAAAUGAUGAAUGCAGCUAUGUCCAAGAUCUAUUCUCCAUGAUGCAUUCUCUUUUUAGUCUUGAUUUUGGAUCUCUGAAUUUCAUUCAAUCACCAAAUAUGAUUGAGAAUCAGAAGUCAGAGUUGGUAUUAUUUGGUAUCUGCUUUGGCCUAAUCUCUUACCUAUAUUUUCUGGCUACAAAGAAGAACAUGCGGUUUCAAAUUUCAGACGGUGAUGACAACAAAUUUGGUCAGCAGCAACCAACACUACAAAUGGUUUCAAAUCUUCUGAACUCUGUAACACUUGCUCUUGAGAGAGUAGGUGAAGAAAAAUAUUUGUUGUUGAAUAAGGUUCGUGAUUUGAAUGAGUUAUCUAGGAAGGAGGUCGAUGAGAUAAUAAAAGUAUGCAUGAAGCAAGAUUGCAUCUCGCCCAACGAUAACAUCCGUAAAAGGAGAUAUAUUGCAAUGAUAGAUUUGUGUUGCAUGGCUGGCAACCGAGACCAGCUUAUAACACUUCUACUCCAAGUCGCUGAAUGUGCCAUCACUAUUCUCCUUGUUCAUUUCCACGAUGAAGCUUGUGCAGAAGACUUGUCUUCAUUUUCCGACGAACUACUCCCUUUAUUGGAGAGGCUAGAGCAUUUAAAAGAGGACAAAGUUGGACGUAAUCUUAAGUUGUUCUACAGAUCUGUUAGCACUCUGAAAGAGAUGAGCGUAAGAAGCAUGACCAUGUGA
rnacentral:rRNA from 1 species